CUGAAGGCUGUACCUUUGUUUUAUUUACGGUGGUGGAAGGCUGAACCUUUCUGGGUAUGGAUGUGUGGAGGCUACAAGUUUCAUCUGCUUGCUUUCUACCUUUUGUGGGUGGGAAGAGGACACUGGAACGGCUACGUGGUUUUCAGUCUACCUUCACCUGGAAAGCGUUAUGGGACACCUGAUGGGAGAAGAAAGUCUGUUAACCUAUGGAUGGGUGACUUUGGUUUGUGCUCGGCUGUCACUGCUACUGGAUGAAAAAGAAUGCCACUAAAAGAAAACAACUGCAGACUUGAGCUUUGAAAUUUAAUUACAACAACAUGGCAAGCUAUGUGUGAAGGAAAAGUUAAGAGAAAUAGCUUAAAACAUUGAAGAUUUUGGAGUUCUUGUUCUUUUUGUAAAGGUGUGAUUUGAACAACCUCUUGAAAAUGUAUCAGUGGAAAAUGAUCAAUAAGAAAUAACUCUUCUUGAGGAGUUAUAACUACUUACUAGUGUUAAAAAUCUGGGGCCAAUUAACUUUGUGUGAAACUUUUGUUCUGAAACUCCAAAGCAUGUGAAACUUGCUGGAUUGUGUUUGCUGCUGAGAUUUGGCUGCAUGACAACAUCCAAGCACACAUCCCUGCCUGCCAUCCUCUUAGCAUGGCCAUAGUACAGCAGGAUGAAAUUAUUUAAUGCCAAGUGACUCCAUGUGCUGAUAUGAUGUCAGCUGGGUUAUCCAAACUACAGCUGAUGGAUGUGUGCUGUGGUGGCAGGGCUGGGCUCCUCCAAAGCAAGGUGUCCCUAUGCCCUGUGCCACCAGGGCACCACUCAGUGCCCCAGGGCUUGGUAGAUGUCAUCUGCUGAAUCUGCCAGAAGGUGAUCCCUGCCUUCAUGCCCCUCCACGAGGGCUUUCAGCUUUCCUGGAGAGGGAAGGAUGGCAAAGCAGAAGGCAGGUCCCCCACAGCUGUGCAUACCAUGGCCUGGGAGCUGAUGCUGGAAGGUGUAGGCUUGCAUGUAACACCUGAUAGCUCCAUCACCCUGGUGGCAGCAAGAAAGGGAGGGGGCCUGUGACUGUAGUACCUCAGCCCUCUGGAGGAGGAUGUACAAAGGGACAGGUGUCAGCACUGGAGGAGGGCUGUGGUGGUCCUGGUAGAUGAAUGAGUGGUUUUUACAUGGCCAGCCUUGCUUCUCCAGGCAGGGAGACCAGGUAGUGUGGGUUCCCUUGGCCACGUACCCUGUAUUCCCACUGCCAGAACCUGAAAUGCCACAGCCCAGUGACAUGGACAUGACUGGAGUCUUGCCUUCCCCCACCAGUCCCUGAAACCUUGGCAGCACUCUGUGAGGCUGGAGGGAUCCAGAAGUUUACCCAUUUUCCAGAAAAGCUGGGAAUUGCUCCAGGAGGCUACAGCAUAAGCACCACAGCAGGCAUUCGUAAAUCCUGGUAUCUGCUCUCAGCAGGUUGAAUUCCCCAUCAAGCUCCCAUGGCUUCCCCCUGCUGAAGACCAUCUUGGUCUACUUCUGGUGUGGGAAGAGUUGGAGAUGUGAUUGUCUCUCCUCUCUCAGCAAAUCAGCAAGGAAGGAAGUAAGGAAUCAGCUCCCAUCCAGCAGAUUUAUGCUUAGGACAUGUGAAAGUGACUCACAAGAUGCUCCUCUGAUGCUGAGGAGCAGACUGACAUGUAGCAGGGCAGGGUGACACCCCAGCUCUGCCUCUUAUACCCAGACGUGCAAAAUUAUGUUCUCAG